rnacentral:rRNA from 1 species
GAUGAACGCUGGCGGCGUGCCUAAUACAUGCAAGUCGAGCGAACAGACGAGGAGCUUGCUCCUCUGACGUUAGCGGCGGACGGGUGAGUAACACGUGGAUAACCUACCUAUAAGACUGGGAUAACUUCGGGAAACCGGAGCUAAUACCGGAUAAUAUAUUGAACCGCAUGGUUCAAUAGUGAAAGACGGUUUUGCUGUCACUUAUAGAUGGAUCCGCGCCGCAUUAGCUAGUUGGUAAGGUAACGGCUUACCAAGGCAACGAUGCGUAGCCGACCUGAGGGGCUGAUCGCCCACACGGGAACUGAGACACGCUCCAGACUCCUACGGGAGGCAGCAGUAGGGAAUCUUCCGCAAUGGGCGAAAGCCUGACGGAGCAACGCCGCGUGAGUGAUGAAGGUCUUCUGAUCGUAAAACUCUGUUAUUAGGGAAGAACAAAUUUGUAAGUAACUAUGCACGUCUUGACGGUACCUAGUCAGAAAGCCCCGGCUAACUACGUG